CACGUAGGGUGCGAGCGUUGUCCGGAAUUAUUGGGCGUAAAGAGCUCGUAGGCGGUGUGUCGCGUCGGCCGUGAAAACCUGCAGCUUAACUGUGGGCUUGCGGUCGAUACGGGCAUCACUGGAGUUCGGCAGGGGAGACUGGAAUUCCUGGUGUAGCGGUGAAAUGCGUAGAUAUCAGUCGGAACACCGGUGGCGAAGGCGGCUUCUUGGGCCAUUUCUGACGCUGAGGCGCGAAAGCUAGGGGAGCGAACGGG
rnacentral:rRNA from 1 species